rnacentral:rRNA from 1 species
GUCCACGCUGUAAACGAUGUCAACUAGAUGUAGGGGGUGUUGAUCCCUUCUGUGUCGCAGCUAACGCAUUAAGUUGACCGCCUGGGGAGUACGGUCGCAAGAUUAAAACUCAAAGGAAUUGACGGGGGCCCGCACAAGCGGUGGAGUAUGUGGUUUAAUUCGAUGCAACGCGAAGAACCUUACCUGGUCUUGACAUCCCGGAAAUCCCUUGGAAACUUGGGAGUGCUUCCAUUAGGAAGAAUCCGGAGACAGGUGCUGCAUGGCUGUCGU